rnacentral:rRNA from 1 species
CUACGGGUUGCAGCAGUCGCGGAACCUUUACACUACACGAAAGUGUGAUAGGGGGAUUUCGAGUGCUCUCACUGAGAGCUUUUGCUAAAUGUAAAUAGUUUGGCGAAUAAAGGGGGGGUAAUAUACGUGCCAGCCGCCGCGGUAAUACGUAACCCCUAAGUGGUUUCCACUUGUAUUGGGCCUAAAACAUUUGUAGCCGGUGCAAUCAGUUCUUGGUGAAAUCAAAUAGCUCAACUAUUUGAAUUGCUAAGAAUACUGUUGUGCUUGGGGAAGGUAGACGUAAAAGGAAUUUUUGGGGUAACGGUGAAAUGUGAUGAUCCCAAAAGGACCACCAGUAGCGAAGGCGUUUUACGAGGACUAUCCCGACGGUGAGAAAUGAAAGCUGGGGGAGCGACCAGGAUUAGAUACCCGAGUAGUC